rnacentral:rRNA from 1 species
AUUAAACGCUGGCGGCAUGCCUUACACAUGCAAGUCGAACGGCAGCACGGGGGCAACCCUGGUGGCGAGUGGCGGACGGGUGAGUAAAGCAUCGGAACGUAUCCUGGAGUGGGGGAUAACGUAGCGAAAGUUACGCUAAUACCGCAUAUUCUGUGAGCAGGAAAGCAGGGGAUCGCAAGACCUUGCGCUCUGGGAGCGGCCGAUGUCGGAUUAGCUAGUUGGUGGGGUAAAGGCCUACCAAGGCGACGAUCCGUAGCGGGUCUGAGAGGAUGAUCCGCCACACUGGGACUGAGACACGGCCCAGACUCCUACGGGAGGCAGCAGUGGGGAAUUUUGGACAAUGGGCGCAAGCCUGAUCCAGCCAUGCCGCGUGAGUGAAGAAGGCCUUCGGUU